rnacentral:rRNA from 1 species
GUGCCAGCCGCCGCGGUAAUACGUAGGGGGCAAGCGUUGUCCGGAUUUACUGGGCGUAAAGCGCGUGUAGGCGGAAGCGCAAGUCCGGUGUGAAAGCCCCCGGCUCAACCGGGGAAGGUCGCUGGAAACUGCGCUUCUUGAGGACGACAGAGGGAAGUGGAAUUGCUGGUGUAGCGGUGAAAUGCGUAGAGAUCAGCAGGAACACCCGUGGCGAAGGCGGCUUCCUGGGUCGUGCCUGACGCUGAGACGCGAAAGCGUGGGGAGCGAACGGGAUUAGAUACCCUGGUAGUCC